rnacentral:rRNA from 1 species
UACGAAGGGUGCAAGCGUUAAUCGGAAUUACUGGGCGUAAAGCGCGCGUAGGUGGCUUGAUAAGUUGGAUGUGAAAUCCCCGGGCUCAACCUGGGAACUGCAUCCAAAACUGUCUGGCUAGGGUGUGGUAGAGGGUAGUGGAAUUUCCAGUGUAGCGGUGAAAUGCGUAGAUAUUGGAAGGAACACCAGUGGCGAAGGCGACUACCUGGACUAACACUGACACUGAGGUGCGAAAGCGUGGGGAGCAAACAGG